CGAGCGAACAGACGAGGAGCUUGCUCCUCUGACGUUAGCGGCGGACGGGUGAGUAACACGUGGAUAACCCACCUAUAAGACUGGGAUAACUUCGGGAAACCGGAGCUAAUACCGGAUAAUAUAUUGAACCGCAUGGUUCAAUAGUGAAAGACGGUUUUGCUGUCACUUAUAGAUGGAUCCGCGCCGCAUUAGCUAGUUGGUAAGGUAACGGCUUACCAAGGCAACGAUGCGUAGCCGACCUGAGAGGGUGAUCGGCCACACUGGAACUGAGACACGGUCCAGACUCCUACGGGAGGCAGCAGUAGGGAAUCUUCCGCAAUGGGCGAAAGCCUGACGGAGCAACGCCGCGUGAGUGAUGAAGGUCUUCGGAUCGUAAAACUCUGUUAUUAGGGAAGAACAAAUGUGUAAGUAACUAUGCACGUCUUGACGGUACCUAAUCAGAAAGCCACGGCUAACUACGUGCCAGCAGCCGCGGUAAUACGUAGGUGGCAAGCGUUAUCCGGAAUUAUUGGGCGUAAAGCGCGCGUAGGCGGUUUUUUAAGUCUGAUGUGAAAGCCCACGGCUCAACCGUGGAGGGUCAUUGGAAACUGGAAAACUUGAGUGCAGAAGAGGAAAGUGGAAUUCCAUGUGUAGCGGUGAAAUGCGCAGAGAUAUGGAGGAACACCAGUGGCGAAGGCGACUUUCUGGUCUGUAAC
rnacentral:rRNA from 1 species